rnacentral:tRNA from 2 species
GGGAGUUUAGCUCAGUUGGUUCAGAGCAUCUGCCUUACAAGCAGAGGGUCGGCGGUUCGAACCCGUCAACUCCCA